GAGAGGGGAGGAAGCCAUGAGAGAGCCAGUGACGGAGCAAACAGAAACUCUUCUGAGGAAUGCCGGUGCCCGGUUUAGGAAAUGAGGGAGGAGAAAAAUAGAAAAACAAAACAAAACCAGUAGCAGCAAAAAGGCACGACAGAACAAGGCUUGACAGGAUCUGAUAGAAUGGCUGCAUGGUACUUUUGGCAAACAACGAUCUGGCACCGAUAGGCGCGACAGACGGGAAUAAAUAGAGCAGAAGAUGAACAGACAUUGAAUUCAGCUCGAGCUCGAGGCCGUGGGGAAGCAGAUUUACGACCUGGAACAGAGGCAGGCCCAGCUGAGAGAGCAGAGAGCCGCGCUGGAAUCAUCCCGGGCUGACGCUCACAAGUCCGGGAUACCCGCAAUCCUGAAGGACGACAAGAGCCCCAGAGCGGUCGUGCUUCACGCCGGGGUUAACGACACCACGCUGUGGCAGACGGAGACGCUGAAGAGGGACUUCAGGAGCCUGAUCGAGACGGUUCGCAGCACGACGCCCGCGGCGACGAUCGUCGUGUCAGGACCACUGCCCACGUAUCGACGAGGACACGAAAGGUUCAGUAGACUUUUUGCUUUAAAUGAAUGGUUGUUGUCAUGGUGUAAAGAACAGAAACUGCUAUUUGUUAAUAACUGGAAUCUUUUCUGGGAGCGUCCUAGACUGUUUCGCGCUGAUGGAUUACACCCCAGCAAAAUCGGAGCGGAGCUUCUCUCUGACAACAUCUCCAGGACACUUCGCUCCUUGUG